rnacentral:rRNA from 1 species
CAGUCGCCGCGGUAAUACGAAGGGGGCUAGCGUUGCUCGGAAUCAUUGGGCGUAAAGGGCGCGUAGGCGGACUCUUAAGUCGGGGGUGAAAGCCCAGGGCUCAACCCUGGAAUUGCCUUCGAUACUGGGAGUCCUGAGUUCGGAAGAGGUUGGUGGAACUGCGAGUGUAGGGGUGAAUUUCGUAGAUAUUCGCAAGAACACCAGUGGCGAAGGCGGCCAACUGGUCCGAUACUGACGCUGAGGUGCGAAAGCGUGGGGAGCAAACAGGAUUAGAUACCCGCGUAGUCCCUGUCCUUAUACA